AACGUAGGAGACAAACGUUAUCCGGAUUUACUGGGCGUAAAGGGCGUGUAGGUGGUUGCGUAAGUCUGGCGUGAAAUUUUUCGGCUUAACCGGGAAAGGUCGUCGGAUACUGCGUAGCUAGAGGACGGUAGAGGCGUGUGGAAUUCCGGGUGUAGUGGUGAAAUGCGUAGAGAUCUGGAGGAACACCGAUGGCGAAGGCAGCCUUCUGGGCCAACACUGACGCUCAUGCACGAAAGCGUGGGGAGCAAACAGG
rnacentral:rRNA from 1 species